ensembl:lincRNA
CCUAAGGUUUUUUUCCCUUUUCCAUUCUAUUAUAUGGAUAUUUUAUACCUUCUCUUCACUCUUCAAAAUCUCUGAUCCUCAUUUUUAGCCAUUGACUUUAUUUUCUAUUUCUGGAAAUAAAUAGAAGUAAAUGGAAAAUAAUUUUCAAAUUUCCAUUAGCACUUCACUUAUCUCCUCUGACUUCAUAAUAUGUGUAUCAGUUAGCUAAUGCUGCAUAACAAAUGACUUCAAAACUUAAAGCAAUAAUCAUUUAAUAUUUUUUUCAAGCCUACAGUCCAAUGGAGAAGACUUGAUUAUUAGGACCUAGCUGUGCUUAUCUCAUCUGGGCUCCCUCAUGUGUAUGUGGUGAACUUGUGGUUAGCUGUGGUGACUUUGGCAUGAAUGACUCAGCUCUCUGCAUCUCUCACAUCCCUUGAGCAUGCUAGUCCAGGUGGGGAGUAAAUGGACAAGUCUGGAUGUGUGUGCUCAAGGCUCAACAAAUAUUCCUUUGAUCAGUUCAAAGAAGAGUGGCCGAGAGACUCUGGUUGACUCUACCUGCAGAGGUGAGAGAAGGCUGGCUGCACAGAGGACAGGAUGCCUGAGAAGGGUCUCAGAAGAGGCACUUCCUUCUUUUUUUUUUAAAAGGGAUCUACAGUCAAACAAAGGAGAACAAUCCAAUAAUGAGAACAUCCUUGAGGAUCACAGAGUCCAGAGUCCCCAGAGAGAGGGAGAGCAAUCAUGUCUUCUAGAUGGCGAGUUACUUACACAUAUGUCUAGUAGCCUGAAAAACGAGAGAGACCAGAAUAUAGGUGUGUGCCCAUGGUAUGUCAUCUGAAAGGACUGGGUAAGCACGUGGGACGGAUGCUGAGCUGGGAAUUCAUAGAGGGUGUCCAGACUCCAGAGCCAAGAAGUGAGCUGGGCUCCCACCCCAUUCUGAAGUUGCCAAAGAGUGAACUUGACCUGUAUUCUGCUGUAAGUUGCUUCUUUAAGGUUCUCCUGGAGCUUUCUUAGUAUGUGAAUGGAAUCUGGGCUGGUUUCCAUAGUUUUUCUGGUUAUUUUCAGGUAUUACAACGUCCCCCCAUGGAAUCUCUCAUACAUCAUAGAGCUUCCCUCCACCCUUCAGCCUUUUUAGUGCCUCCAACUAGAACAUCUGCAGCAGGGAAGAGGCCAGGAUGGGGUUCUUCACCAGUUCAUUAGAGUUUUCCUCAUCUCCUCCUCACUCAUUCACUGUGUGGCCUCUGAUACUCCAGGGAUAGAGCAGAAAGAAAGGAGAGGUAAUGGACAGAGACCUGGGAAUACUGUUUUAUGCAAUGUGUGUGCGUGUGCGUGUGUGUGCGUGUGCAUGUGUGUGUGCGUGUGUGUGCACGCGCGUGUGUGUGCGUGUGUGCGUGCAUGUGUGUGCGCAUGUGUGCGUGCAUGUGUGUGUGCACGUGUGUGCGUGCAUGUGUGUGUGCGCGCGUGUGUGUGUGUGUUUUGCAGAUAUUUAUAAGCUGAUCCCUCCUUCCUGGAACUCCUCGAAGGCUCCCCAGGUGAGCACAUCCCUAUAUAGGAAACUCUAAUUCAUUGGCUGCCUCCCCUGGCUGCUUUGUUUUUCAGGUGCUCUCACAUUCAUUCCAACCGCCACCUUUUACCCUCAGACACUCUCAGGAUUGAAUCAGAUAGCCCUUUGCAAAUGCCCCAAAUUUCAAGGAUCACACAUCCAUCUUGGUAAUUAGUUCCCUUGAAGUUCCACACUUAGUUUAAGGUGAAAAAGCAGAAGGCCGUCCUCUCCCUGUGACAAUCAAGAGUUUUCUGCACACCUGCAGCCCUCUCUGAAGCAGCCCUUCUAGUCCCCAGGCUCUGAUGUCCCCUAUUCAUAUGGUGCGCUAACUCUGCUAUGACCAUCACUGGUGGGCCAUUCCAUUUGCAAGACCAGCACUUCUGUGGUGUUUUAGAAUCCAUUUUUUUUUUUUGUUCUUAGCAUUUGUAACUUCUACUGAAUCUUUAAGACCACAAGAAUAGCCACAUUUUAUACCCUACUGUAAACAAAUUUCCAGUAGAAGUCAGAUAAGUGCAUAUAUAAGAAUUCAUAUACAUGUUGGCUUUAAUCCUGUUUCACUUAUGCAGAUUUUACCUCCACCCAUUAACAGAACACCAUAAGUUUAUUAUCAAAUUUUGAGAGGUAUUACCUAGAAAUCUAUACCAGCACAAGUUUAUGGUAUUAUUUGCCUGGGAAAUAAGAAAAUAGCAGUUCAGCAGCUGAGAGGCAGUGUGUAGCACAGAGACUAAAUGCAUCGAUUACUCAUCCCUCCCUUUGUUGAAUUUUAUCACUGUAAGCCUAUAUCUAUAGAUCAAGAAAAUCCAUUCAAUCUUUCUGUGUUUCAUUUUUCAUCAAGUGGUAAUAAUAAUAAUUGUACCUACCUUACAGGUGGUUAUAAAGAUUAAUGAAGAUAAUAUAUAUGUGCUACUUAGAACACUGUAAUUAAAAAAAUGCUCAAUAAAUGUUAGCUAUUACUGGCUUAGGAUUUGGGUAAAACACACACAGAGGCACACACACACGAAGUAAAACCAUUUCUGUACAGUUGGUGAUUAAUUUUAGUCAAUCAGUUAAGCAACUGUUUACAAGCUUCUCUGUGCCAGAGUAUUAUGCCAAGCACCGGAAUACUGGGAAGUGUGGGUGUGGGUGGAGAAAAGCAAUUAAGCAAGACUCACUAGUGUAGUAGGAGAAACAACUAUCAGGAGAGUCUCUUGAGAUAUUUAAGGUCCAAGGAGACUCAUAUUGUGAAAUAGUGCAAAUCCAAACAGAAUGAGGUGGUGUUCACCCCUCAAGUUGGCAAAAAUGUUAAAGUUUGAGAAUACCCAUUGCUGGAAAUGAUGUGAGGAAAACACACAUUCUCCAUAUAUAAUCAAUAAAGGUAGACAUUUAUCAACUUUUAUGGAAGGUAUUGGAAAACAUCUACAAAGGGUGAGAUACGUGUGUAAGGAUGAUGGCUGCACUGUAGUCAAGUAUAGGCCGAGGUACACAUCUGGAAUAGCAUGACACAAUGAGAUUGGAGCGCAGGUGCACAAUCCCAUGCAUUUUAUAAUCACAGUUAUGUAGCCAUAACAUGGGAGGGCUCAUCACCUGGCUCUGAGCCAGUAUUGUGUGUGACAUGCAUAAAUGCAGCACUGACAGUGUGAGUGAGCUGCUAAAUAAAGCCAUGUCCCCAUCUACCUGUGAUCUCUUGAGUGUUCUUUCAGCUGCCCACCCCUUGCCCGCUGACUCCCCUGGAACCUAACAAUGUG